GACGAACGCUGGCGGCGGGCUUAACACAUGCAAGUCGAACGGAAAGGCCCUGCUUUUGUGGGGUGCUCGAGUGGCGAACGGGUGAGUAACACGUGAGUAACCUGCCCUUGACUGUGGGAUAACUUCAGGAAACUGGGGCUAAUACCGGAUAGGAGCUCCUGCUGCAUGGUGGGGGUUGGAAAGUUUCGGCGGUUGGGGAUGGACUCGCGGCUCAUCAGCUUGUUGGUGGGGUAGUGGCUUACCAAGGCUUUGACGGGUAGCCGGCCUGGGAGGGUGACCGGCCCCAUUGGGAUUGGGAUACGGCCCGGCCCCCUCCGCGAGGCGGCGGUGGGGAAUAUUGCACUAUGGGCGGAGGCCUGAUGCAGCAACGCCGCGUGCGGUAUGACAGCCUUCGGUUUGUAAACCGCUUUCGCCUGUGACGAAGCGUGAGUGACGGUAAUGGGUAAAGAAGCACCGGCUAACUACGUG
rnacentral:rRNA from 1 species